UGGACGGCCAGCUAGCCAGCCACCGCUAAAGUCCACAACGUGGGCUGCCAAAGAUGCCAACUUGCAAUUUUCGGAUCAGGGUUUUGAAACUCACAAAUGUUGGCUAUAAAAUGGCACAUUCCAUAUUGCUUAUAAAAUACCCAAAUCAAAAUUAAAAGGACAGAAAGAGUCUUCUAUACCAUACACAUAUAUACCCAACCUUCAACAUGGCUGAAGAAUCUGCUCAAAGAAAAACUCAAUGGCCAGAGCUUGUCGGCGUAGAAUUUUCUACUGCUGCUAUGAUAAUAGAAAAUGAAAAUCCUGAUGUGAAGGCUAUCAAGAUUCUAGCAGGUAGUUUCAGAAUUAUGGAUUUUGAUACUAGUCGAGUUUGGGUUGAUUGCAAUAUAGAAGACAGGGUUGUUGAAAUGCCCAGUGUCGGUUAGAGAUUGGGUUAUAUGUAUAAAGUCAAUCAUAUAUAUAUAUAUAUAUAUAUAAUGUCUAUGCAUAUAUCUAAGUGAAUUAUAUGCUUAAUCAUGUCAUUCCAAUAUUGUACUAAUAAGUGGUAUUUCUACCGUUUCAAUUCUCAUCUCAUAAGAGUGUAUAUUUGUAAUAAAUAGUUGAAUUAUAUGUUACAAUGAACAUCAACAAAGGCCGAUCUUUAGAUAUUA